GCCCUUAUCGUCUAGUGGUCUAGGAUAUCUUUUUUUCCAGGAAGAAAAGGAGGAUUCAAAGUCCUUUAAGGGCG
rnacentral:tRNA from 1 species